AUGGUUAAUAGCAGUGUUCAAUGUACUCUUAAUGGUUUUGUGUUACAGUAUCAGUUUAGAAUAACUAAUGUACGGUUUUGUAUAUUGAUAUCCAGUACCAGGUGUCCUGCGCCUGUAUGUUCCUUUUGGCAGGAGCUUUGCAGUUUUCUUUUCUUUCUUUUUUCUUCUCAAAAAAUAAACAGUAUUUAUGUAAUGAUGCAUAAAGUGGUUCUGAACUUCUUGAGGUCAGCCAUUUUAUUUUGUGUUUUGAUUGUUGUAGUGAAUGUUUUUAUUCUUUGUACAUUUUUUUUUUACAGGGAUUUUAGACUACCUACUUGAUUGUGGUAUGAUUUUGAGUUUGUGGAGACCAGGAAAAAACGAAUCCCACCCAAAAUGUUAUUUUAUCCUCUUCCAUGUCUCCCUCACCACCCCUCUUCGAAAGCUUUGGUUGUACUUAUGUACUAUUUUAUAGAAAGUGAUGAUGAAAAUAAGUUUUAUUUAUUUAUUUUGUGUACUGGAACGUCCAUGAAUUUAUUUACAGGUCAAGGUAGUUGCUGGAACCUGCUUGAAAGAAGUUGGGGGGGGUAAAAAUACUGAACUGUAUUUGUAAUUUUAUAAUUGUUCCUUGUGUAUAGAACUUAUCAGCCUGAGAUGAGAAGUGGCAUCAAGGGGAGUUGGCGGUAGGACUUGGAAAUGGUUAAACGGCUCUCUUCCUAUGCCUUGAAUAGUCUUAUUAACACUUCCUCAUAAGAAUUAUGAUAUUUUUUCCCUGUUAGUUGUACAUCAGUGUUCUCUCAUGUGUCACAGAAAUGAAGGAAAGUUGAACCACAUGAGCAAACCGAAAACUACUUAAGGUUGAAUGUAUAAUUAGGAAACACAAUUGUACAUAACUGUAAAAAGAAAAGUUUCUAAUCAUGUUUAUUUUCUAUGCACUUUUUUUAUUUAAGUGAUAGUUUAAAUAAUAAACAUGUCUCGUUUACUCUUUCUUCAGGCUCUCUCCGUUUCUUUUACUUGUUCUGUCAACCUAGAAAAUAGUAAUUUUUUUAUAUUGAUACUAGUUAGUGAUAACAUGCGGGGCCCGGUUUCCUGAUGGCGAUACAACGUAGGCUUACGAGUAUCUAAAAAAAAAAAAAAAAAAUACAAAUAAUAUAGAAUAAAUAAAUAUGCAUUGUUCCUACAACCGCCGAAGAUGUAACAUGCGUUUCCCAAAACACCACGCAAAAAGUGUGUUCCGUAAGUGCGCAUGUGUAGAUACUCGGGGUUCGAAAGAGACUGAGCUGCUGCUCUGAUUUCUACAUUCAAAUCUUAACCUUUUAACAUAAUUAUUCUACAACACUGACGGAUCAGCUCCUAGACAGAUCACCUUAUGACUGCAAUUAUUGAGGUGGCUUAUUCUAUUACUUACCCUAUAAUGAUGCACUAAAUUGCAUUGAUUUGGCACCUUAUUGCGCCCGUUACACAAUAUAAAAAAUAUUUGCACAGCGUAGCCUACCAAAGAAAACAAUUGACUGAACAUGAAAUUUGAUUUCAAUAUCUUCCUAAUAUUGAGUUGCACCACCCCCUUUUGCCCUCAAAAGCCUCCAAUGGCCCCCACAGUUGUCAUGUUGGCUGGAUGGCCUUUGUGUGAUAGACCGUUACUGAUACAUGGGAAACUUGAGUGUGGAAAAACCCAGCAGCGUUGCAGUUCUUGACACAAACCGGUGCGUCUGGCACCUACCAUACCCUGUUCAAAGGCUUAAAUAUUUUGUCUUGUCCAUGUCUCAAGUUUAAAAAUCCUUAAUCUGUCUCCUCCCCUUCAUCUUUACGAGUGACCUCAAUAAGGGAUCACAGCUUUCAACCUGGUCAGUCUGUCAAGGAAAGAGCGUCUGUUCAAAAUGUUUUGUAUACUUUUUAAUGCAGUCACCUCGGUUUUAAUUUGAAGCAUCUUAACUUUCGCUUGAUAAUUUGCAGGUAACUUGUUCCGAAGUUAUUGGUGGUCACAAGUGGCAGAUGAACAGCUUGAUUCUGUGUGUAGUGGAUGUGUAUAAAGUGACACGGUAAGGGGGGGGAGAGACAUCUAAUGACGCACUUAGCAGUCUGAGGCAGUCGUUUUAAAAUAACGACCGUUUUCAAGUGCAACUUUAGUAACGAUGGUUUUGGGAAACAGCUCGGAGAUUUAACAAUGCUCUUAGGAAGGUUCUAAUGAUGAACUCAGCCUUACGAUGCUUUUGGGAAACCGGGCCCAGAUCUGUGUCACUCUCCUUGUUCAAUUCUCCAUUUCUAUGUUUAUGAACCCCAUAAGUGUAUCCCACUGACGUAAACUUGAUAAAACUUAGCACUUUUUUAUCUAGUUUUUAGACGGCUUAAUUUCCUCAUGACUUAUUUUUAAAGCAGCAGGGUAACGCCAAAGUAUUACAAAGCCUAGAUUAAGUUGUCAACUCCGAAUAAAAAUCUAGGUCAAAUACUUACGUUGUAAUGCAAGUUCCUUCAAUUUACAAUUUUAUGGCAGCUGGGUAGCUC
rnacentral:lncRNA from 13 species